rnacentral:rRNA from 1 species
UACGUAGGGGGCGAGCGUUGUCCGGAUUUAUUGGGCGUAAAGAGCUCGUAGGCGGCUUAGCAAGUCGGGUGUGAAAACUCCAGGCUCAACCUGGAGACGCCACUCGAGACUGCUAUGGCUAGAGUCCGGUAGGGGACCACGGAAUUCCUGGUGUAGCGGUGAAAUGCGCAGAUAUCAGGAGGAACACCGGUGGCGAAGGCAGGUCUCUGGGCCAUUACUGACACUGAGAAGCGAAAGCAUGGGGAGCGAACAGG